AAGCUCGUAGUUGAAUUUCGGGGUUAGUAGGUUGGUCAUGCCUCUGGUAUGUACUGGUCUCACUGAUUCCUCCUUCCUUAUGAACCGUAAUGCCAUUAAUUUGGUGUUGCGGGGAAUUUGGACUGUUACUUUGAAAAAAUUAGAGUGUUUAAAGCAAGCUAACGCUUGAAUACAUUAGCAUGGAAUAAUGAAAUAGGACGUUCGAUCUUAUUUUGUUGGUUUCUAGGAUUGACGUAAUGAUUAAUAGGAUAGUUGGG
rnacentral:rRNA from 1 species